rnacentral:lncRNA from 1 species
GAGUUGCCACAUGCCACUUCAUGGUCCCUUUUCAUGAACUUUCUUUGAAAGAGUACAUGUAAGGUAUAAUUAUUUCUUAAGUUUUAUGUUCUCAUAGCUCACUCUCAUCAGAUUCUUCCCAUAUGACUUCUUGUUUGGGCAGUUGGAAUGCCCCUGCAAUAGUGAUAGUCAACAAUUGCUGUGUAAGGUGUUGGGAUUCAGAUGCACAAUGGAACAUGGAUUUUAAAAUUUUUAGGCAUGCAUCAACUAUUGAUUACAUAAGG